rnacentral:misc_RNA from 1 species
GUGAGUCAUCGAAUCUUUGAACGCACAUUGCGCCCCGUGGUAUUCCGCGGGGCAUACCUGUUCGAGCGUCAUUACAACCUCUCCAGCUCCGCUGGGUCUUGGGGCUUGCCUUCCCGGGCAUCCCUUAAAACUAGAUGCGGCGCCGCGUUGGCUCUAAGCGUAGUACUCUUCUCGCUUCUGGGUCCGUCGUGGUGUUUGCUACAGAACCCCAACUUUCUAUGGUUGACCUCGAAUCAGGUAGGGAUACCCGCUGAACUUAAGCAUAUCAAUAAGCGGAGGA